GACGAACGCUGGCGGCGUGCUUAACACAUGCAAGUCGAACGAGACGAUUGAAAGCUUGCUUUUGAAAGUCGAGUGGCAAACGGGUGAGUAACGCGUAGACAACCUGCCUUUGAGAUGGGGACAACAGUUCGAAAGGACUGCUAAUACCGAAUGUUGUAUAUUUUCCACAUGGAAGAUAUAUUAAAGAUGGCCUCUAUUUAUAAGCUAUCGCUCAAAGAUGGGUCUGCGUCUGAUUAGCUAGUUGGUGGGGUAACGGCCUACCAAGGCGACGAUCGGUAGCCGGUCUGGGAGGAUGAACGGCCACAUUGGGACUGAGACACGGCCCAGACUCCUACGGGAGGCAGCAGUGGGGAAUCUUCCACAAUGGACGAAAGUCUGAUGGAGCAACGCCGCGUGAGUGAAGAAGGGUUUCGGCUCGUAAAGCUCUGUUGUCGGGGACGAAUGUGCAGUAUUUGAAUAAAGUACUGUAAUGACGGUACCUGACGAGGAAGCCACGGCUAACUACGUGCCAGCAGCCGCAGUAA
rnacentral:rRNA from 1 species